rnacentral:rRNA from 1 species
GAUGAACGCUGGCGGCGUGCUUAACACAUGCAAGUCGAACGGAAAGGCCCAAGCUUGCUUGGGUACUCGAGUGGCGAACGGGUGAGUAACACGUGGGUGAUCUGCCCUGCACUUCGGGAUAAGCCUGGGAAACUGGGUCUAAUACCGGAUAGGACCACAUUUUGGAUGGUGUGGUGGAAAGUUUUUCGGUGUGGGAUGAGCUCGCGGCCUAUCAGCUUGUUGGUGGGGUAAUGGCCUACCAAGGCGUCGACGGGUAGCCGGCCUGAGAGGGUGUACGGCCACAUUGGGACUGAGAUACGGCCCAGACUCCUACGGGGGGCAGCAGGGGGGAAUAUUGCACAAUGGGCGCAAGCCUGAUGCAGCGACGCCGCGUGGGGGAUGACGGCCUUCGGGUUGUAAACUCCUUUCGCUAGGGACGAAGCGUUGUGUGACGGUACCUGGAGAAGAAGCACCGGCUAACUACGUG